CCCUCGAUGGCUCAGUUGGCAAGAGCGUCCGUCUCAUACGCGGAAGGCCGCUGGUUCGAUCCCAGCUCGGGGGA
rnacentral:tRNA from 1 species